rnacentral:misc_RNA from 1 species
GUUUUUCCUCCCCACAAGUCAUACAAGUUCUAUACAAAUCAGAGUAUAGUUUAGUCAUUCGUGUUUUCUUUCGUGCUUAAAUAUUUAUAAAAAAAGGAACUCCGAAGAGUUCCUUAACAUUAUAUCAACCGAUUGCGGGUGCAGUCAAGGCAACUGGUGUUGCUUCUGCUGCUGCAAGGUCAAGAGGGAAGUUGUGUG